rnacentral:rRNA from 1 species
UGAGUAACCUGCCCUUCACUCUGGGAUAACUCCGGGAAACCGGGGCUAAUACUGGAUAUGACUCGAACAGGCAUCUGUUUCGGGUGGAAAGAUUUAUAGGUGGAGGAUGGACUCGCGGCCUAUCAGCUUGUUGGUGAGGUAAUGGCUCACCAAGGCGACGACGAGUAGCCGGCCUGAGAGGGUGACUGGCCACACUGGGACUGAGACACGGCCCAGACUCCUACGGGAGGNA